rnacentral:lncRNA from 1 species
CACUGCCUGCAACUGAAAUUAAUCCAUAAGUACAUUGUGUGGAAAUUACCUAAAAUCUAUUUAUAUUAUCAAUGUUUUUCAAUGUUACAUUUCAUGCUACACUUAUUACAGCUAUUCUAAAUCUACUUGUCUUAUCUGCAACAGUCUGCCAACCAGAGUGGUUGAAGAAGAGGAUUUUACUGUAUAUAGAUCUUUCUUCUUGGAGUCACUAGCUCACAUGGACUUCAGAAGGGGAAGUUUUGCCUUCUUCAUCACUCAUCUAAAGAGGGAUCUGYCCAGCCUAAAAAAGUUUUCUUGGUGUAUUUAUAUUGAAUGUAAACUGGCGGAAGUAUGA